CCCUUAGAUGUUCUGGGCCGCACGCGUGCUACACUGAGUGGAUCAGCGGGUCAGGUUGCGCGAAAGUGUUUCCUAAUCUUUAAAUCCGCUCGUGAUGGGGAUUGACGGUUGCAAUUUUCCGUCAUGAACGAGGAAUACCUUGUAAGCGCGGGUCAUCAUCCCGCGCUGAAUACGUCCCUGCCCUUUGUACACACCGCCCGUCGCUCCUACCGAUUGAGUGGUCCGGUGAGGCUUUGGGAUCUGAGCGGAAAGAGCGUUUCGCUCGUUUUGCCCGGAAAACUCAGUCGAACCUUAUCAUUUAGAGGAAGGAGAAGUCGUAACA
rnacentral:rRNA from 1 species